rnacentral:rRNA from 1 species
AUUGAACGCUGGCGGCAGGCCUAACACAUGCAAGUCGAACGAGUGGCGGACGGGUGAGUAAUGUCUGGGAAACUGCCUGAUGGAGGGGGAUAACGUCCGGAAACGGGCGCUAAUACCGCAUACUAUCAGAUGAGCCUAGGUCGGAUUAGCUUGUUGGUGGGGUAAAGGCUUACCAAGGCGACGAUCCCUAACUGGUCUGAGAGGAUGAUCAGGCACACUGGAAAGGAGACACGGUCAAGACUCCUACGGUAGGCAGCAGUGGGGAAUAUUGCACAAUGGGCGCAAGCCGGAUGCAGCCAUGCCGCGUGUAUGAAGAAGGCCUUCGGGUUGUAAAGUACUUUCAGCGGGGAGGCGUUACCCGCAGAAGAAGCACCGGCUAACUCCGUGCCAGCAGCCGCGGUAAUAC